rnacentral:rRNA from 1 species
CCCAGACUCCUACGGGAGGCAGCAGUGGGGAAUAUUGCACAAUGGGGGAAACCCUGAUGCAGCAACGCCGCGUGAGUGAAGAAGUCAUUCGUGAUGUAAAGCUCUAUCAGCAGGGAAGAAAAUGACGGUACCUGAGUAAGAAGCCCCGGCUAACUACGUGCCAGCAGCCGCGGUAAUACGUAGGGGGCAAGCGUUAUCCGGAUUUACUGGGUGUAAAGGGAGCGUAGACGGCCAGACAAGUCUGAAGUGAAAAUCCAGCGCUUAACGUUGGAAGUGCUUUGGAAACUGCCGGGCUGGAGUGCAGGAGGGGCAGGCGGAAUUCCUAGUGUAGCGGUGAAAUGCGUAGAUAUUAGGAGGAACACCAGUGGCGAAGGCGGCCUACUGGACUGCAACUGACGUUGAGGCUCGAAGGCGUGGGGAGCAAACAGGAUUAGAUACCCGAGUA